AUGGGACAAGAUUCCCCCCUGAAAUAUGGGACAAGAAAUGUGGUUUUUGGUUACUUGAAAAUUUUCCAGUGGCCUUGCCGGACGGCGACGCGUAUUGGCCAUAAUUUACAAAAACAUUAUGUAGUAUUAGUAAGAGGAGGAAAGGUUAAGGAUUUACCCGGUGUGAGAUAUUGCAUUAUUCGAGGAACCCUAGAUGCUGUCAAAGUAAAGAAUCGUCAACAAAGGCGUUCUAGUGCGUUGGAGAUUUUUAUCCAAGACUUGGUAUCAUUCGAUGAUGCCAUAGAUGCGAGAGCGGGGUGA
rnacentral:rRNA from 1 species